CCCUCCCUCCUUCCCUGGAGGAGUGUUGUGCUUUGGAACUGAGGGGGCUUCGUGGCUGCUUCACGGUGUCAAGGGGUGAACCACAAUACACUUGACAGUUAUAGAUGUUGAACAUCCAUUGAAAAGACUGGGAUAACAUGUCCAUACCCGCCCUCCCAUUCAGCUCUGUUCUAGGAAACUUUAAAGUGAGGAAUGCAGUUAGUAGGGGAGACUUCUUGCAGACUCUACAGCAACUGUUCCAAAGCAUCCUGGGAACAUCUGACUUAUGGCGACCAAAAGGUGAACUUAACAUGGUGUUUGCCUGGCAAGAUUUGUUCAGGAGGAGUUUGCUAUUGCCUCCCUCUUAGACUGGGAGAAAGUGGCAUGCUCAAAGUCAUCCAAUGAUUUCCCAAGGUAAAUGGGAAUUUGAACCCUAGUUUCUCAGAACCCUAGGCUACAUCUACAAUGUAGAAUUAACUCAGUUUGACACCACUUUAACUAUAAUGGCUUGAUACCAUGGAAUCCCAAGGGUCGUAGUUAUACAAAGUCUUUAGCAUUUUCUCCCAUAGAAUGCUGAUGCCUCACCAGACAAAACAAAUCAGAAUUUGAACUACUAUUAUGUAAAUGUAAUUGGUAAAAUUAUAAAUGUUGAUUAAAAUGUGGUAUGGAAGAACAACAUCUGAUAUUGCAUACAGAUAGUGUCAUAGAAAAAGAUGUGGUCAAAGGGUUUGAAAAUUUCUUUUUGUUAUGAUCUUAAGGACAGU